CGACAAAAAAUGAAUACUCCGUAGACAGUAGGUUGCUUAGGCAUAAAAUAUCCUACCGAGGUAAAGCUUGAAUGCAUAGUAAUCAAUUGAUUUGAUUCCUUAUGAUAUUUAUUGCCCUCGCGUGUCUGCGAGGGCUUUGUUUAUUCUCAG
rfam:Firmicutes bacterium MLFW-2 MLFW-2_Contig_13_85X, whole genome shotgun sequence.